GAUGAACGCUGGCGGCGUGCCUAAUACAUGCAAGUCGAGCGAACGGACGAGAAGCUUGCUUCUCUGAUGUUAGCGGCGGACGGGUGAGUAACACGUGGAUAACCUACCUAUAAGACUGGGAUAACUUCGGGAAACCGGAGCUAAUACCGGAUAAUAUUUUGAACCGCAUGGUUCAAAAGUAAAAGACGGUCUUGCUGUCACUUAUAGAUGGAUCCGCGCUGCAUUAGCUAGUUGGUAAGGUAACGGCUUACCAAGGCAACGAUGCAUAGCCGACCUGAGAGGGUGAUCGGCCACACUGGAACUGAGACACGGUCCAGACUCCUACGGGAGGCAGCAGUAGGGAAUCUUCCGCAAUGGGCGAAAGCCUGACGGAGCAACGCCGCGUGAGUGAUGAAGGUCUUCGGAUCGUAAAACUCUGUUAUUAGGGAAGAACAUAUGUGUAAGUAACUGUGCACAUCUUGACGGUACCUAAUCAGAAAGCCACGGCUAACUACGUGCCAGCAGCCGCGGUAAUACGUAGGUGGCAAGCGUUAUCCGGAAUUAUUGGGCGUAAAGCGCGCGUAGCGGUUUUUUAAGUCUGAUGUGAAAGCCCACGGCUCAACCGUGGAGGGUCAUUGGAAACUGGAAAACUUGAGUGCAGAAGAGGAAAGUGGAAUUCCAUGUGUAGCGGUGAAAUGCGCAGAGAUAUGGAGGAACACCAGUGGCGAAGGCGACUUCCUGGUCUGUAACUGACGCUGAUGUGCGAAAGCGUGGGGAUCAAACAGGAUUAGAUACCCUGGUAGUCCACGCCGUAAACGAUGAGUGCUAAGUGUUAGGGGGUUUCCGCCCCUUAGUGCUGCAGCUAACGCAUUAAGCACUCCGCCUGGGGAGUACGACCGCAAGGUUGAAACUCAAAGGAAUUGACGGGGACCCGCACAAGCGGUGGAGCAUGUGGUUUAAUUCGAAGCAACGCGAAGAACCUUACCAAAUCUUGACAUCCUUUGACAACUCUAGAGAUAGAGCCUUCCCCUUCGGGGGACAAAGUGACAGGUGGUGCAUGGUUGUCGUCAGCUCGUGUCGUGAGAUGUUGGGUUAAGUCCCGCAACGAGCGCAACCCUUAAGCUUAGCUGCCAUCAUUAAGUUGGGCACUCUAAGUUGACUGCCGGUGACAAACCGGAGGAAGGUGGGGAUGACGUCAAAUCAUCAUGCCCCUUAUGAUUUGGGCUACACACGUGCUACAAUGGACAAUACAAAGGGCAGCGAAACCGCGAGGUCAAGCAAAUCCCAUAAAGUUGUUCUCAGUUCGGAUUGUAGUCUGCAACUCGACUACAUGAAGCUGGAAUCGCUAGUAAUCGUAGAUCAGCAUGCUACGGUGAAUACGUUCCCGGGUCU
rnacentral:rRNA from 1 species